rnacentral:tRNA from 1 species
GAGAGUAUAGCUCAGUGAUAGAGCGCAUGCUUAGCAUGCACGAGGUCCUGGGUUCAAUCCUGAGUAUCUCCA